rnacentral:pre_miRNA from 1 species
UGAUUAACAAAAACAAUGAAUCAUUCUACCAAUUGACUUGUACUUUGAAUCUUUGAUUUGAACCUUUCAAAUGGUAUCAAAGCUUCUACAUCUUUGAAGCUCUGAUACCAUGUGAAGGAGUCAAAUCAAAUCUUCAAGGUACUAGUCAACUUGGCAGAGAAAAAAAUGUAGUUGGGAUUA